CGCACUUAGAGUAAGCCGAUGACAGACGUACAGGCGAAAUCAGUUGAAGCGAGAGCGAGCCAAGCCGAGUAAAAAGCCUUGGUUGCUGCUUACCGUAACCGGAUAACAACACGCGUAGUUCCACGUGCAAAAACAGCCUAUACACGUAAGGCUGACUGCAGAAAAGUAAAACUAAACGUCCAGUAAAACAUCUCUUUCUUGG
rnacentral:misc_RNA from 1 species